rnacentral:rRNA from 1 species
AAAUGAAUAGACGGGUCCCCGCACAAGCAGCGGAGCGUGUGGUUUAAUUCGAUGCUACACGAAGAACCUUACCUGGGUUUGACAUAGAGGUAGUAGGGAAGCGAAAGCGGACCGACCCUUCGGGGAGCCUCUACAGGUGUUGCAUGGCUGUCGUCAGCUCGUGUCGUGAGAUGUUCGGUUAAGUCCGCUAACGAGCGCAACCCUCGCUGUGUGUUACAAGUGUCACACGGUACUGCCGAUAUUAAGUCGGAGGAAGGUGGGGAUGACGUCAAGUCAGCAUGACCUUUAUAUCCAGGGCUACACACACGCUACAAUGGCCAGUACAAUGGGUUGCCAAGCCGCGAGGCGGAGCCAAUCCUAAAAAGCUGGCCUCAGUUCAGAUUGCAGUCUGCAACUCGACUGCAUGAAGUUGGAGUUGCUAGUAACCGCAGGUCAGCAAUACUGCGGUGAAUACGUUCCCGGGGAUUGUACACACCGCCCGU